rnacentral:pre_miRNA from 11 species
GAGCAAAUACUUUUAAACUCUAAUAUGUGUUGCAGACGAAAUAGGCCUAUCUGUCAAGAUAAGCAGCACAUAUUAGAGUUUAAAGGCAUUUGCUCG